UAUGGAUAACUCAAAUUCCACACCUAUUAUUGAAUUUUUUGCACCUUCGGAGAUCAGCCAUAGACCAUGGUAGUCAACAAGUCCUUUCUUUGCCCCUAAUUAUGAUUUGUGUCCGGAGUUGAUUGCAAUAGGUCAAAACCAACCCUUUUCUAUAGCUGAGGUCCUAUCUUUUAAUCAAGAAGAUAAUGAACUUUUAGCUACACCUAGGGAAUCUUUUAAUCUUUCUAUAAAUUCUGGUUUAAACCUAGCCCUACAAGACCAUGUUUUUCCUCGAUAUUUUCACAUUGGUCUUAAUCAUAUAACCUUUGGUAGAGUUUUUCUUUCUUUAUCUGUUAGUAAAGCAAGGU
rnacentral:lncRNA from 1 species